rnacentral:rRNA from 1 species
CUAGAGAUAGAAAGUUACUUCGGUACAUCGGUGACAGGUGGUGCAUGGUUGUCGUCAGCUCGUGUCGUGAGAUGUUGGGUUAAGUCCCGCAACGAGCGCAACCCCUAUUGUUAGUUGCCAUCAUUCAGUUGGGCACUCUAGCGAGACUGCCGGUAAUAAACCGGAGGAAGGUGGGGAUGACGUCAAAUCAUCAUGCCCCUUAUGACCUGGGCUACACACGUGCUACAAUGGUUGGUACAACGAGUUGCGAGUCGGUGACGGCGAGCUAAUCUCUUAAAGCCAAUCUCAGUUCGGAUUGUAGGCUGCAACUCGCCUACAUGAAGUCGGAAUCGCUAGUAAUCGCGGAUCAGCACGCCGCGGUGAAUACGUUCCCGGGCCUUGUACACACCGCCCGUCACACCACGAGAGUUUGUAACACCCGAAGUCGGUGAGGUAACCUUUUGGAGCCAGCCGCCUAAGGUGGGACAGAUGAUUGGGGUGAAGUCGUAACAAGGUAGCCGUAUCGGAAGGUGCGGCUGGAUCACCUCCUUAAUCACUAGUGCGG